GAUGAACGCUAGCGGCAGGCCUAACACAUGCAAGUCGAGGGGUAACUAGAGUGAUAGCAAUAUUACUUUGGCUAGACCGGCGCACGGGUGCGUAACGCGUAUGUAAUCUACCUUUUACAGGGGAUAGCCCAGAGAAAUUUGGAUUAAUACCCCAUAGUAUGUUGUGGUGGCAUCACUAUAACAUUAAAGUUCCAACGGUAAAAGAUGAGCAUGCGUCCCAUUAGCUAGAUGGUAAGGUAACGGCUUACCAUGGCUACGAUGGGUAGGGGUCCUAGGAGGGAGAUCCCCCACACUGGUCCUGAGACACGGACCAGACUCCUACGGGAGGCAGCAGUGAGGAAUAUGGGACAAUGGGCGCAAGCCUGAUCCAGCCAUGCCGCGUGCAGGAUGACGGUCCUAUGGAUUGUAAACUGCUUUUGUACAGGAAGAAACACUCCCUCGUGAGGGAGCUUGACGGUACUGUAAGAAUAAGGAUCGGCUAACUCCGUGCCAGCCGCCGCGGUAA
rnacentral:rRNA from 1 species